rnacentral:misc_RNA from 1 species
CUCUGGUGUGACAAGGUCGUUAGGAAAGAAAGAUGGCGUCUUUCCUUGGAAAGUUACGAUUCCUCAAGUCACCUCUAACGAGGCGCUUGGCAACUUCAGUCGACGCUAGUUAUAAGGAUUCUCUCCCAGCCAAAGUUAGCGGACACCCUGAAGCCGAAAUAAAAAGAUGGUGGGCCAUCACCUUGUGGAUGAUUGGAGUUUGUGCAGUGACCCGUGUUUAUCAAAUGAUGGAUGAAAACCAUGGAAAACGUCCAGAAUUUAUACCAUACCAACAUCUCAGAAUCAGGAAAAAGGUACGAUCUUAUCAAAGAAAAGGGAUGGCUUUCCCCCUCACCCCACCCCACUUUUUUGUUCAGCAAAUCCCCGUACACCCUAAGGCCUUGAUUGAACCUUGAUAACUAAUAUUAUCUCACAAAUGUUUGCUCAUCGUUGUAUGAGAUAAAAGUUUAUACAUGUAUUACCAUGAUUAGAUCUGCUUUCUGUGGUAUUCAUGGUAGAUAUAAAUAAAAUAAAUGACAGCGUCACAAUUUUGUGUAUUUGAUAUGAUUGAUUGGUUUUAACAAGUUGUUAUUAACUGUUUGUCUUACUCUGCAAUCCAAAUUAUAGAAAUUUCCUUUGAUAAAACAAGAUAAAAGAAUUUAAAAAUGCAACUUUUUGCCUACCUGUUUAUUUUCUCUUAAAUGAGUAUUUAAUUAAUAAUUUCAAGAGCUUAACCUUUUAUGCAUUUAAAUACCAGUGUUAAAAAUGAGGAAUUUUCUUUCAUCAGUUCUCUAGAUUGCAUAGGAAUUGAAAGUUUUGCAUCCAUAUUUUUAAACCUUUCCCUAACUACUGGUAGUUAGUGGUGGUGUUUUAGUUACGAUUGUUUCAUGGGAGAGGGUUUUGUUGGUUUAUCAAACUCAUUAUAUCAGUGAUGUUAUUGUUUAUUAUGAUUUUUAUGAAAACAUUACUAUGCUUUAAGGCUUUCCCCUGGAAGGAAGGAUCACAGAAAACACUUUUCUGGUGCCCAAUCACUAACGCAGGAUCAGAGGGAUACCUGGAGAUGACCCCCGAUGAGGAACUGAAAUGGGGGAAAUACCUGCAUGGACAUUAAGGAAUGUCUGUGAUAGUGACAGAGUUAAACGAAUUGAUGUUUUAAUUACUUUUGGGCCAGAGUGUACCCAUCCUUAAAGGAAUGCUACAAACAACACCUGAUGUUAUGUAACACAAUGACAACAACAAAUAAAAAACUGUUGUCUCUUU